UUUAUCAAUUUUAUUAAAACUUGAAAAAAUGGAAUCCAGGAUGUGCGUAUAACUGUUUUGUGAAAUUAAGCGAAAUUUUAAAGUUUUACAUCCGAUUUCGAUGAAAUUUUCACCGUCAUGCUUGAUUUAUUUGGCUUUUGAUUCAAAUAAACUUUUUGUUGGGGUUGACUUGUCCUUUAAAUUCACGCCCUUCAUGGUGUUUAUGGCUGAGGUCUGUUCCCGGUUCUCCUCAAAUUUGCAACCCUAAAUGGCGUAGAUGUUAUUUAAUUUCAUUUUGCACCCCUAUAAAUGGCGUAAUCUUUCAUAACCAAAUUAGCAAUCCUAAAUGGCGUGAAGAGCGAGAGAAAUAUCCCCAAACAGGCGAUUUACCAGUAAAUUGUGUUGAAAGGCAACCUUUUUGCCAAAGACGUCGACAACGCCUGGGUGCCUGAAACGGGACCCUUAAUCGACGCCUUUUCUGGACGCGGGUGCGUAGCAGGCCAUGUGGAGAGUGACCCCCCGGGGGGGGGGGGACUAUAAAAUACCCCAAAACGUCUCUUUUUGCUCUUUCUUAAGGUGAUACAAACUCUUUAUCCAUUCUUUGAAAAUAUGUAUUACAUGCCCUCCUAUAGAAAGAAUACAUGAUCUACUGAUAGAAGUGAUAAAAAGGCAGUUUAAGUGAAAUAUAUACAAAAGUACUGGGAAAGUCGUUCACGGAAAUAUAAGAUGUGUGGACAUCACACAGUCAUCUUUGUCGCAUUGCCAACUGAAGGAUCUACAUCACAAUAAUGAUCUAAACCUCAAAUGCUCAUAACUUUCUUAUUAUUUAUUCAAGUUUUCUCAAACUUUCGUUGUUCUGUUUCUUUCAUUUUUCUGUAUUCACACAAGCUAUCGUUUUUCAAAGGUUUCAUUUUUCUGUAAGCACACAAUAUAUUUUCUUAAAGCAUGCAUGCAUAUAGCUCAAGGCGAAGCAUUAUUGUACAUCACAUACACUUAACGAAUUUCUCAAUAUUUCAUAUCUAUAUUUUAAUGAUAUGAAACGGGAAUGAGAUGAAUCGAAUAAAAAAUCCAUACUCGUUCCUGAUCUUAUAAAAAAUACAAUAUAAAAAAAGGUCAUGCUCUUAGUUUUAAGAACUGUUUUAUGGUAAUUAAAUUAAUUUCUUAUUAGUAAUUUCUUGUAAAAUCCAACAUAGUUUUGAACAUAACUAUAUAUAAGAUACGAAAGAAGGGUGAUUUUCUGUGUCCAGAAGACUGAUGACCCAAAUAAAUUAGAUCUCUUUUGAAAGAGAACAAUGAUAGAUUCGUGGUGGGAUAUUAAUUACACUUGCAUUAUUUCAAUGUUAAAAUUGUUAACUUCUUACUGUACUUUGAUUCAAAUAAUAAUUCAAAUUAUGUACAUAGUGAAUGAGAUGCAUUUACCGUUUCCAAACAAAAACGCAGAAAAUAUUGGUAAACACAGGCUAUGUUGCUGGUGUUUUCUUCUUGAAAUUAUUGGUUCUCUUCAGAAAGAGAACAAUAUUUCUACCAGUGUAAUUUUAGGAUAUUACUUCGAUAUUAGAUUCGUGAUGGUAUAUUAAUUUCAUCGUAUCAUUCUCAUCUUUGUAUCAACGUAACAUAAUGCUUGAAUAUAAUGUUCAGGUCGAGUGUAUGGAGUAAAAAAAUAAAUUGAUAUGAAAAAUUAAGUUAACACACCAAAAUCUCGAAAAAUUAGUUAUCAAACGUAAUUUGGCUAUAGGAUGCUGGUGUUAAUAAGAUGCUAAUAAGGUGUUAAUAAGAUGUUAAUAAGAUGUUAAUAAGGUGUUAAUAGGAUGCUGGUGUUAUAAGGAGUGAUAAGGGGGAGGGGUGUUAUUGAUUACUUAAUUAGGGGGCGUUACCGGAUGUUGUUGCGCUCCAACCCCCGAGACAAAUGGGAUGCAAUUAAGUAACUUUCGCACCCAAUUCUUAUGACCGCGAACAAGACUUGGAAUUUUAAGUGGGGCCUAUUGUUUAGAGAUAAGCUCUCUCAUUGGAGCGAAGUCUACCCCCAAUCACCGGUUCCCCCCCUAUUUGCGUUAACUGGCCCCGCGGGGGUGGGGUAUUGUUCAUGAUAAUAAGCUCUGUGAUUGGUACGAAGUCUCUACCUAUCAGAGAGCUCGACCACUAAUUGCUCCUUUGCUGGAGAUGUAGAGUUGCUCUAUAAAUACCACAAUUUUCUUCAGUUUUCAGUCUAACCUUGGACUUGACAAGAAUAUUACGUCAAUUUUUGUCAGAUAUUUCAAUACCAUCGCUCCAACCUCUCUUCAUCACCACAGCCUUGAGUGUCGGUCUGCCGCCAAGUUCUCGCUGUUGUCAAAAUACGCAUGUGUCGCCGACAGAACAACGGAAGUGUCACUGGGCCUCCAAAUAGUUAAGUUGAACUGAAACAAGAGAAAAUGAUGAAGCAAAAGUUUUUGCCCUCUUCCGAUAGGAAAUAAAUUCUUCAUUCAGCCUGAUUUUCAUAUUUUGUUUUUGUAUGCUUUAUUGAUUAUAAAUUCAGACAAUAGGUAUCAGUAAGACCUGGGGGCCGUUUCAUAAGGUUGUUAGAAAGUUAAAGCGGGACUUUAAGAACGGCUGGUGAACCUUUCUUACGCGCUUAACCAUCGCUAAUGAAUUUACAAUUUUCGUCAAAAAAGGAUCACCAGUCAUUCUUAAAGUCGCUCUAAUUACGAACAGCUUUAUAAAAAAAACCCACCUGUUGUUAUUUUUGUGUCUAUUUCCUUGUUAAUUUGUCUAAUAAUUGAAUUUGGAAUUGAUGGAUUCAUAGACUCUUGAUUUGCAUUGAUUAGAGUAUUAAAUAAUAAAAUGGAUUUCCAUAGUA